rnacentral:rRNA from 1 species
UGGGGAAUUUUGGACAAUGGGCGAAAGCCUGAUCCAGCAAUGCCGCGUGUGUGAAGAAGGCCUUCGGGUUGUAAAGCACUUUUGUCCGGAAAGAAAUCCUUGGCUCUAAUACAGUCGGGGGAUGACGGUACCGGAAGAAUAAGCACCGGCUAACUACGUGCCAGCAGCCGCGGUAAUACGUAGGGUGCAAGCGUUAAUCGGAAUUACUGGGCGUAAAGCGUGCGCAGGCGGUUUGCUAAGACCGAUGUGAAAUCCCCGGGCUCAACCUGGGAACUGCAUUGGUGACUGGCAGGCUAGAGUAUGGCAGAGGGGGGUAGAAUUUCACGUGUAGCAGUGAAAUGCGUAGAGAUGUGGAGGAAUACCGAUGGCGAAGGCAGCCCCCUGGGCCAAUACUGACGCUCAUGCACGAAAGCGUGGGGAGCAAACAGGAUUAGAUACCCUGGUAGUCCACGCCCUAAACGAUGUCAACUAGUUGUUGGGGAUUCAUUUCCUUAGUAACGUAGCUAACGCGUGAAGUUGACCGCCUGGGGAGUACGGUCGCAAGAUUAAAACUCAAAGGAAUUGACGGGGUCAUA